GACAGAGGAUGCAAGCGUUAUCCGGAAUGAUUGGGCGUAAAGCGUCUGUAGGUGGCUUUUAAGUCCGCCGUCAAAUCCCAGGGCUCAACCCUGGACAGGCGGUGGAAACUACCAAGCUGGAGUACGGUAGGGGCAGAGGGAAUUUCCAGUGGAGCGGUGAAAUGCGUAGAUAUUGGAAAGACCACCAAUGGCGAAGGCACUCUACUGGGCCAUUACUGACACUGAGAGACGAAAGCUAGGGGAGCAAAUGGG
rnacentral:rRNA from 1 species